rnacentral:rRNA from 1 species
GACGAACGCUGGCGGCGUGCCUAAUACAUGCAAGUAGAACGCUGAAGGAGGAGCUUGCUUCUCCGGAUGAGUUGCGAACGGGUGAGUAACGCGUAGGUAACCUGCCUGGUAGCGGGGGAUGACUAUUGGAAACGAUAGCUAAUACCGCAUAACAGUAGAUGUUGCAUGACAUUUGCUUAAAAGGUGCACUUGCAUCACUACCAGAUGGACCUGCGUUGUAUUAGCUAGUUGGUGAGGUAACGGCUCACCAAGGCGACGAUACAUAGCCGACCUGAGAGGGUGAUCGGCCACACUGGGACUGAGACACGGCCCAGACUCCUACGGGAGGCAGCAGUAGGGAAUCUUCGGCAAUGGACGGAAGUCUGACCGAGCAACGCCGCGUGAGUGAAGAAGGUUUUCGGAUCGUAAAGCUCUGUUGUAAGAGAAGAACGAGUGUGAGAGUGGAAAGUUCACACUGUGACGGUAUCUUACCAGAAAGGGACGGCUAACUACGUG